AUAUGUUUUCCUGAGUAACACUCAAUUUUUUAUUACGAAUCACUUGAAGAAUUGCUUAAUGUUGAUGUGUUUUGAUGGCCUUCAGCCUUAUCCUUUUGAGCUGUGACCUCGUCAGAUCUAAUUUCACUUUGGAUUCUAUUUACCUAGGAGGGCCCUGAGGGAGAAAAAAAAAAUCCGGUUCUCCAGGAAGUGAGGUCAACGAUCCAAAGGGUGACACUCCCAUUCUGAGUCAGUACGGAAUUACCGCUCGAGGGCAGACACGAUGGGAAGACCUUAUGUUCUAUGAUCAUUUCAAAACUGUCGUCGGUUGCGGAAAGAACGCAUUCCCUGUUGGAAAGGGGUUGGAAUUUCUUCCCUAGUGACCCCCCCCCUCCCCGAAUGGAAGAAGUGCUAAAAUAACUAGAGUCUGAGUGAUUUUCCACAUUCUCCAAGGGAGGGACUUUUGUGGUGGUAAACAGUUACAGGAACUAUUUGCUUUGGACGGGUUCGGUCCGCUUGGGUGGAUGAAGGCCUUCUGAUUUUGGUUUCUUACUCGGGUGGAAAUUUUCACCCAGAAGCAACUUUUCCCGACGAAGAGGUCUCUGGAAGUGGAAUCGGUUUGGCGAGGGGAAAACGUGGGUGAUGAUGGGGAGAAUAAUAGUCUGAAAUAGGGUAACUUGAACGGGUUGUUCCGUUAAUCGCUUGAAUUCUAAACAUUCUAAUCGAACCUUCUUAUGUAAUAUUUCUCAGGCCCGAUUUUUUUUUAAACAGACACAGCGGGGGUGGGCCGGGCUGUGUUAAGGACACAAUGUUAUUUUGUACUGUUCAUUGUUACAUUGUGCUCUCCCAAGUGCUUAUUACAGUGGUCCGCACACAGUAAGUGCUCAAUAAAUACAACUGAAGGAAUGUAAUAAGAUUAAGCCCUUUUUUCCGCCAACUCCCUCCCCGCUCUGUAUUGUCUAUGGUCUUGGGCAUUUGGUUUUCACCCCACCCUCAGCCCCAGAGCACAUAUAUGCCUGUCUAUAAAUUAUUUAUAUUAAUCUCCAUCAUCCCCUCUAGACUGUAAACUCUCUGUGGGCAGGGAAAUAUGCCUACCAACUCUGUGUACCGUACUCUCUCAAUUGCCUAAUACGAUGUUCCGCACCCAGUGAGUGCUCAAAAAAUACCACUGCCUGACUGAUCGAUCGAUUUAGGAAUCCAGCUGCCCAAGUCACCGUUAUAUCUGGUGUAUACAAGCCCCCUCCGCCUCCCAAGGGGGCAGCCAGGGAGAGAGGUACUGAGAGAAUUCAGCUGAAAAAGGAGAGAAUGUUGUAAAAUAACUCUCCCAUAUAUUGCAAAGUGACUAUGUCUUUUCUAAUAAUAAGAGAUCAUUUUGGUAUCUGUUAAGCACUAUGUGCUAAAAGGUGGGAUGGCUACAGUAUAAUCAGAUCACACAGGGCUCCCACAAAAUAGGAGAGAGGACAGGUAUUUAAGCCCUCUUUUAUAGUUGA
rnacentral:lncRNA from 1 species